rnacentral:lncRNA from 1 species
UUCGCCAAUGAUUGAGCAUAUACCUAGUAAUUUUUUUUAUUUUUUUGGGAAUGUUUAUUUGUCGCCCGAGAGUAAAUCAAGACUCUCAUCACUUGAUUUUUUCCCUUAUUGGAUUUGCAUCGAACGCUCCUGGAUCAUCGUCUUCCUUGGGCUAGCACUCCCUCGCACAGGCAUAGUCAGCCCCACAGCCACCUAGACGAGCCACCGCCCUGCCGCGGGCGCAGUAGGGUCUCGCCAAAGCUUCGCACCAGCGGACUGCCAGCUCGGAGCUCCAGUGAGAACCUAUCGUGACCAUGGCAACCUCCUCUACACCCUACCUCACCGCCGUCCCCACCCCCGGUGAGGUCGCCGUCGUAGCCCCCACCCUGCUGACUCCGCCCUAGGGAUGGCAAUCAGGUUGGUCUGGACCCGAGACCCGCGGGUUUCAGACCCAAUGGGGGCGGGGGUAGGUCCGAAAUCCCCUCGCGGGUCUCGGGUUCAGGGACCCGAAAUAGGGCGGGUGCGGGGCCGGGUUAUAGAAUCCCCCGCGGGGGCCCACGGAGCCUCGAAUUUGGCCCAUGAAGCAUGAAGCGGUCCAGAGGUCCAGACUCACCCGCUCCCCCUUUUCCUCUAUCUCUCACCUGCUCCCCUUCUCCCCCAUCUGCAGACUAUGGCUGCUGGCCUCCAGCCCUCCACCCCAUCCCUACUCCCCAGCGGUGGUGGCGACCGGCGCGCCCCGGCGCCCCCGCGCGGC